rnacentral:tRNA from 2 species
CGAAAGAUAAGCUAAAUCCUAAGCUAAUAGGUUCAUACCCUAUAAAUGAAUUGUUUUCUCUUUCUA